rnacentral:rRNA from 1 species
UACGUAGGGUGCAAGCGUUGUCCGGAAUUAUUGGGCGUAAAGAGCUCGUAGGCGGUUUGUCGCGUCUGCUGUGAAAACCCAGGGCUUAACCCUGGGCCUGCAGUGGGUACGGGCAAACUAGAGUGCGGUAGGGGAGAUCGGAAUUCCUGGUGUAGCGGUGGAAUGCGCAGAUAUCAGGAGGAACACCGGUGGCGAAGGCGGGUCUCUGGGCAGUAACUGACGCUGAGGAGCGAAAGCGUGGGGAGCGAACAGG